AUGAAACCAGCUACAGCUAGGCACUGUGCAAGCAAGUGUUCUGUUUCUUCGGCAGCUCUGUCAAAUGUUGGUGUGCUUCCUCCCUCCCCUGGAGGACCUGGCUUCAGUCUCUCACAAGCAGCAGUUGCCAGCUUCUUCAGCUGGUUUCAAGGCCUGAUGACAUUGACUAAUGGAGAACAGGGAAGCAAUGUCCAAACAGGCUGUACCACCCAGACCACGCUGAUCAAGGAAAAAAAAAUGUGUGAGAAACAGCCCUACAGAUACCAAGGAAGUGACUCAAUGAGAAGUGAACAUCUGCUGGAUAACUUUGCGCUACAUUAUGUAGCUUUACAAGAAGAGAAGAUGUACUGCAGAAAGACUGAUUGGAUCGGGAUUUUAGAGGCAAAUGAAAAAAGAAGACACAUAAGGAAGGAUGCAAAUAUGGUCCAGAAUUUUAAAUGA
rnacentral:lncRNA from 1 species